GACGAACGCUGGCGGCGUGCUUAACACAUGCAAGUCGAACGGAAAGGCCCUGCUUUUGUGGGGUGCUCGAGUGGCGAACGGGUGAGUAACACGUGAGUAACCUGCCCUUGACUUUGGGAUAACUUCAGGAAACUGGGGCUAAUACCGGAUAGGAGCUCCUGCUGCAUGGUGGGGGUUGGAAAGUUUCGGCGGUCGGGGAUGGACUCGCGGCUUAUCAGCUUGUUGGUGGGGUAGUGGCUUACCAAGGCUUUGACGGGUAGCCGGCCUGAGAGGGUGACCGGCCACAUUGGGACUGAGAGACGGCCCAGACUCCUACGGGAGGCAGCAGUGGGGAAUAUUGCACAAUGGGCGGAAGCCUGAUGCAGCAACGCCGCGUGUGGGAUGACGGCCUUCGGGUUGUAAACCGCUUUCGCCUGUGACGAAGCGUGAGUGACGGUAAUGGGUAAAGAAGCACCGGCUAACUACGUG
rnacentral:rRNA from 1 species